GACGAACGCUGGCGGCGUGCUUAACACAUGCAAGUCGAACGGAAAGUCCCUGCUUUUGUGGGGUGCUCGAGUGGCGAUCGGGUGAGUAACACUUGAGUAACCUGCCCUUGACUUUGGGAUAACUUCAUGAAACUGGGUCUAAUACCGGAUAGGAUCUCCUGCUGCAUGGUGGGGGUUGGAAAGUUUCGGUGGUUGGUGAUGGACUCGCGGCUUAUCAGCUUGUUGGUUGGGUAGUGGCUUAGCAAGGCUUGGACGGGUAGCCGAGCUGAGAGGGUGACCGGACCAGUCAGACUUGGGCUGAGGCACAGCCCACACCGCGACGCAGCAGAGGAGAAUAUUGCACAAUGGGCGGAAGCAUGAUGUAGUACAGCAGCGCCGGGGAUGAGGUGAAGGGGUUAGUAAAGCGAUUUUGCCUGUCACGAAGCGAGAGUGACGGUAACGGGUGAAGAAGCACCGGCUAACUCCGUG
rnacentral:rRNA from 1 species